rnacentral:rRNA from 1 species
ACACAUGCAAGUCGAACGGAGCACCCUUGAUUGAGGUUUCGGCCAAAUGAUAGGAAUGCUUAGUGGCGGACUGGUGAGUAACGCGUGAGGAACCUGCCUUUCAGAGGGGGACAACAGUUGGAAACGACUGCUAAUACCGCAUGACGCAUUUUGAUCGCAUGGUCGAAAUGCCAAAGAUUUAUCGCUGAAAGAUGGCCUCGCGUCUGAUUAGCUAGUUGGUGAGGUAACGGCCCACCAAGGCGACGAUCAGUAGCCGGACUGAGAGGUUGACCGGCCACAUUGGGACUGAGAUACGGCCCAGACUCCUACGGGAGGCAGCAGUGGGGAAUAUUGGGCAAUGGGCGCAAGCCUGACCCAGCAACGCCGCGUGAAGGAAGAAGGCUUUCGGGUUGUAAACUUCUUUUAAGUGGGAAGAGCAGAAGACGGUACCACUUGAAUAAGCCACGGCUAACUACGUGCCAGCAGCCGCGGUAAUACGUAGGUGGCAAGCGUUGUCCGGAUUUACUGGGUGUAAAGGACGUGCAGCCGGGCAUGCAAGUCAGAUGUGAAAUCUCAGGGCUUAACCCUGAAACUGCAUUUGAAACUGUAUGUCUUGAGUGCCGGAGAGGUAAUCGGAAUUCCUUGUGUAGCGGUGAAAUGCGUAGAUAUAAGGAAGAACACCAGUGGCGAAGGCGGAUUACUGGACGGUAACUGACGGUGAGGCGCGAAAGCGUGGGGAGCGAACAGGAUUAGAUACCCUGGUAGUCCACGCUGUAAACGAUGGAUACUAGGUGUGCGGGGACUGACCCCCUGCGUGCCGCAGUUAACACAAUAAGUAUCCCACCUGGGGAGUACGAUCGCAAGGUUGAAACUCAAAGGAAUUGACGGGGGCCCGCACGAGCGGUGGAUUAUGUGGUU